UCACACCAUGGAAGUUGAUUGCUCCAGAAGUAGGUAGCUUAAAAAUGGGCGCUUACCACGGAGUGGUCGAUGACUGGGGUGAAGUCGUAACAAGGUAGCCGUAGGGGAACCUGCGGCUGGAUCACCUCCUUUAAA
rnacentral:rRNA from 1 species